UGCCAGCAGCCGCGGUAAUACGGAGGGAGCGAGCGUUAAUCGGAAUUACUGGGCGUAAAGCGCGCGUAGGCGGCUUUGUAAGUCGGAUGUGAAAGCCCUGGGCUCAACCUGGGAACUGCAGUUGAUACUGGCCGACUAGAGUAUGAAAGAGGGAGGUAGAAUUCCAUGUGUAGCGGUGAAAUGCGUAGAUAUAUGGAGGAAUACCAGUGGCGAAGGCGGCCUCCUGGUCCAAUACUGACGCUGAGGUGCGAAAGCGUGGGGAUCAAACAGGAUUAGAUA
rnacentral:rRNA from 1 species